ensembl:lncRNA
GGACAGGGGAGCCUGGUGGGCUGCCGUCUGUGGGGUCGCACAGAGUCGGACACGACUGAAGUGACUUAGCAGUAGCAGUAGCAGUAAGCCUGGCAGGGUUGGGAAGGAAGGAGCUGCCAGGCCAGUGCACAGGUCAGCUCUCUCAGGUCCUGUCCCCUUACCCAGCCUGUAACCUGGGUUCUGGACCCGUGGUUCUGUGACCCAGGCUUGGAGAAGACAAUGCAGCCACGCUUGCUAAAGACUUUAAUGCCUGCACCAUAAUCCUGCCGGAGGAAACCCAUGAAGCUCCGAAUGUCCCUGUGUUUCAGAACUGUGCCGGACUCUUCUCCGCCAAGUAAUUGAUGAGGAAGCUGAGCAGAGACCUGUAUGUCCCACCUAGUACCAGCAGCACCACCUUCCCUCCUGUUCAUGCCACAGAACUGUUACACGGUGUAAUUACAGCAAACACGCAUUGGCGGCGAGCAGCAAUCAUGAGACAACUGUUGAGGAUUUCAGAUGCGCUUGGCGGUGGCUCCUGGAGCGCAGCGCGAGGAACCGCAGCUCCAGUUGGCCCGUGCUGGCCCGAAAACAAGGGAUUUGCAGAAGUCGGGAGCGGUGUGUUGGCACGGUGUCCACGCCAUGUCGUUCAUCAGCUAUUUCCUUGAUAGCGGGUUGCGUCUUACCACCAAGCCAACCGACUGACUCAUGAGUCAGUGACUUAAAAAAUAAAUAAAUACUUGAGGCCAGCUGUGCCCGCCGAGCAAAACCUGUCAGGCUGCAGACAAAGUGGGCCCCUGCCACUUUCCCGGGUGGUUUCAUUUUUCCUCUUUUUGUCUUCUUGUUUGAAAACUAUGAAAGUGAAACCGCACACCUCCCCCUGAAAGCUGCUGUGUUCCCACGGCUGGAGGAGGUGGGUGGGGGCGAGUCUCCCGCUAGCAUCAGCAUUGCCCUUCCGCAGGCCCCAGGGUCCGGCCACGCGGCUGGAACCCAGGCC